CCCGAUCCAUUUUUUGCCUUGGGCUCAAUCCACGACCCAGGGGUCGCGUAUUAUCCCCGUCCCCAAUCCAAACCCUACCGCAGCGCUCAAACGGCCGGCGGCGAGCGUACCGGCUGCGAGCGGUACCGCGGCGAGCGGGCACUACCGAGUGGAGGUGCACGAGGCGGUAGCUGCCGGAGGGGAGGAACAUCUGCGGGGAAGACAGUACCAUAUCACCGCUCCACAUCGCCGCUCCACAUCGCCGCCGCCGCCGCCGUUCUUGGGACCUGACCGGCGACGCCACCUCCUGUACUUCGGUAUCCUCUCCGGUAACCUCCCCGUUCUCUCUCCCUCUCUCUUCCUGUCUGCCUGGAAUUGAUACAUGGCGUGAGUGGAGGAGGCCCCUGCCCCUGCGGCGCGCGCAUGGCGGCGACCUCCGCACCUCUUCCUUGCUUCAUGGUCCCUGGCCGGGUAGGACUUGGUCGAUUUUACAGCAAAAAAACAUUGUGUCUGCCUGAUUUGGGUGUGACCUCAGACCUCGGCAGGAGUACGGUUUUGGGUAAUUGUGGAUUGCUGUGUUUUCGCUCCAGGCCCAGGUCGAGUUGGAGCUGUGCUAGGCUUCUAGUUCUAGGUAGUGCUUCAUUUGAAAACCUGCCCUUGUGCUGCUGCGGAAUGGUUGGCAUGUGUAUGCAUUCUGUGUCGGUGCUUUAGUCACUUACUCGUGAGAUUACAGAACAUUUGCAGUAGCUUCAGUGCUCUGAAAUAUUCGUGAGCACCCCAAAAGGCCUACAGAAUGAGAAAAUCCCCACAUGCCUGACUAUGCACCAUCUUGGUUAGAUUACUUUUCAGAGUAAGGCACUUUACCUGCUUGUCAAUUGGUCUCUAAAUUGGUUAGUACAUUUUGUCUUCCUGAAACCGAAUUGGUGCCUCAAUGCUUGAAUAUCUACAGUGACAAGAACAUAUUGUGAAUUUACCAUAAGAAGUGAACAACGAAGCUGCUCAACAAUUUACCAUAAGCAAAUGCAUCGCUGCCUUGAGAACCUUGCAAGGUUUUGAUCCUGCUGAAAAACCAAAAGCCUUUGUGGUCUUCAAAACUGUCGAGAACCGCGAGAUAUUCCUCGGUUCUGUCGAGGACAAUGAUGGCAGUGCAUUAGCUUGGCUUCGCAUUGAGAUGGCCAUGUUACCAUCAGGCAAUCCCUGACUUGUGUUCGUUGAAGAUCGCAUGGACUAAAUCAACAUAGUUUCCAAGAGUCGUCUUUUCUGAUAGAAAUUAUUUUGUCGGGAAUGGUUGUAUGGAAUUUGUAAUUUAUGACAAACUAUGACGAAUUAUGUGACUGAAACUCUUGUGUUUUUGAAUGUUGAUAACUGUUGGACGUUGACUUCACAAGCUUAUUUUCGUCUGCUGCCA